AACGUAGGACACAAGCGUUAUCCGGAGUUACUGGGCGUAAAGGGCGUGUAGGCGGACCUAUAAGUCUAUUCUGAAAGCUCCUGGCUAAACUGGGAGAGGCGAAUGGAGACUGUAGAUCUAGAGUGAGGAAGAGGAAAGUGGAAUUCCGCGUGUAGUGGUGAAAUGCGUAGAGAUGCGGAGGAACACCCAGUGGCGAAGGCAGCCCCCUGGGUCAAGAUUGACGCUCCAUGCACGA
rnacentral:rRNA from 1 species